ensembl:piRNA 21ur-6864 ncRNA
UGUUGUAUUGCACUAAAGGGU